ensembl:lncRNA
CAGUUCCAUUCUUUUUCAGUACUGAUCCCAACUAGGAGCAUUGAUUUCCUGUCAUUAAUGGGUCAAGUUUUUCAGCUUGAACCAUUAGACCUUUGUUUUCCAUGACUCUUUAGACCUUUGUUUUCCAUGACUCUCCUUCCUCAGCUUCUCCUCACAGUGUCUUACCAUCUUCCCUGGUUCUGGCCCAGUGCCUGCUUUCAGCCCUCGGUUCCCCUGUAUGCAUCUUCCUCAGAGAUCCCUUUACCAUCUUCACGCUGCAGACUCUGAAAUUUCUCUCUAUCCAUCCACAUUCUGCCCCUGCAGGGAAAAUGAUGUUGGCCCCAGGUUCCAUUCCCAGACUGGCCUGGGCAGGCCAGAGCGGUCAUCAAGUUGGAACUCAGGGGCCUGAGGUUGGUCCCAACAGAUCCAAGGGCAAAACCAAAAGCAAGCCAUUCUGUAAGGAUCUCACACAGAACCAGGGACUCACUUUGUAGCUCAAGCUGGCCUCUAACUUGCGAUCCUCUUUCGUCAGCCUCCUGAAUGCUGGGUGUGUACCACCACGCCUACUUUAUGGUUACGUAUGUACAUGUCAAACAAAGUUAUAGAAGAUUAAGGUUCACUUUAUACACACAAAAACUGAAAUAGUUGGGCUCAUCCCUUAGCUUCCUCCCCACCAAAAAGGCUGCUGUGCUGUUUUUUGAGUGGCGGAAGUUACCUUGUGAGCAGAAAGAGCUGCUCUCCUCAGCAGUCUGGUGAGCCACGGUGUUUGUUUCCACAGGGGUUAUGCUAACCUCUGUGCCUGCUGAACAGAUGAGGACCUCCUUAGGUGCUGGAGCACUGUGUUGUACAGCGUUCCCUGCGGGAUGGUGCUCAUGCCGGCAUGAUCUCCCAAGCGAAAUCUGGGACAGAAGUCAUGACAGGAUUGUGAAGAAGGCCGACAGUGGACAGUGUAAAUGAGGAGAGAAUUUCCUCUUCAGGAGGAGUAAAGGCAGCAGGAAAUGGUUUUCUAACUCUGUUAGCAGAGUUUUAUAGCCAGGAAGAUUACAACCACUUUCUACCACCAUUCUCACCCUAAUGAGGCUCUGAACUGACCGUGUCUGUGGAUUGCUGUUUGUGAAAU